UACGUAGGGUGCGAGCGUUAAUCGGAAUUCUGGGCGUAAAGCGUGCGCAGGCGGUUUUGUAAGCCAGAUGUGAAAAUCCCCGGGCUUAACCUGGGAAUGGCAUUUGGGACUGCAAGGCUCGAGUGCGGCAGAGGAGACUGGAAUUCCUGGUGUAGCAGUGAAAUGCGUAGAUAUCAGGAGGAACACCGAUGGCGAAGGCAGGUCUCUGGGCUGACACUGACGCUGAGGAGCGAAAGCGUGGGGAGCAAACAGG
rnacentral:rRNA from 1 species